rnacentral:rRNA from 1 species
CCUAAGGGUGGCAGCAGUGGGGAAUAUUGGACAAUGGGCGAAAGCCUGAUCCAGCCAUGCCGCGUGUGUGAAGAAGGCCUUCGGGUUGUAAAGCACUUUCAGUGGGGAAGAAAGCCUUGGGGCUAAUACCCUCGAGGAAGGACAUCACCCACAGAAGAAGCACCGGCUAACUCCGUGCCAGCAGCCGCGGUAAUACGGAGGGUGCGAGCGUUAAUCGGAAUUACUGGGCGUAAAGCGCGCGUAGGCGGUCUGAUAAGCCGGUUGUGAAAGCCCCGGGCUCAACCUGGGAACGGCAUCCGGAACUGUCAGGCUAGAGUGCAGGAGAGGAAGGUAGAAUUCCCGGUGUAGCGGUGAAAUGCGUAGAGAUCGGGAGGAAUACCAGUGGCGAAGGCGGCCUUCUGGACUGACACUGACGCUGAGGUGCGAAAGCGUGGGUAGCAAACAGGAUUAGAUACCCCAGUAGUC